GCCUUUGUGGUGUAGUGGUCAGCACGCUCGAUGCGUAACCGAGAGGUCCGUGGUUCGAUUCCCGGCGAAGGCA
rnacentral:tRNA from 1 species